rnacentral:lncRNA from 1 species
CCCGGGUGUCUAAAACGCCGAGUGCUCUGGGGGGGGUCGUUCCCUCCAUGGUCUUUCCUUCCCAUAGGUAUCGGGGAACAACCCUGCCAGUGAUUCGCUGGCGUUUGGCGAUCUCGUCUCCCUCCACAGUCUUUCCUACCUGUGGGUAUCGGGGAGGCGACGCCAGUAACUAGCUUUGCCUUCUUCGAUUUCGUCUCCCUCCGCAGUCUUUCCUACCUGUGGGUAUCGGGGAGGCGGCACUGCUGAUAUUUGGGUUGGCGACGCCCGCAACGUCUCAUGCUGGCGUCGCCCCUUGCGUCUUUCCUGGCGACGCCCCGGGCGUCUUGUGCUGGCGUCGCCUUGGGUGUUAUCUUUACCUUGGCAUUGACUUUGUCCUUGGCCCUGGUCGACGCCUGAGGACAGCGAAGAGCUCAAGGUUUCGCCUGCACCAUCCACGUGGCGCUUCUUGUAUGGCUGAUGGGACGUUCAGUCAUUCGACUUGGUCCUGACUCCUACUGUGCCCCUGACCCACUCUCGACGGCGCAUCGUACUAU